rnacentral:rRNA from 1 species
UUGAUCCUGGCUCAGAAUCAACGCUGGCGGCGUGCCUAACACAUGCAAGUCGAACGCGGUUAUUCCAGCUCCGCAAGGCGUUGGAAUAACUGAGUGGCGUACGGGUGAGUAACACGUGGGUGAUCUACCUUCGAGCGGGGGAUAACGUUUCGAAAGGAACGCUAAUACCGCAUGACGUUCCGGGUUUAAAGACCUGGAAUCCAAAGCUGGGGACCGCAAGGCCUGGCACUUGAAGAGGAGCCCGCGUCCUAUUAGCUAGUUGGCGGGGUAACGGCCCACCAAGGCGACGAUCGGUAGCCUGCCUGAGAGGGCGGACGGCCACACUGGGACUGAGACACGGCCCAGACUCUUACGGGAGGCAGCAGUGGGGAAUUGUUCGCAAUGGGCGCAAGCCUGACGUCGCAACGCCGCGUGGGGGAUGAAGGUCUUCGGAUCGUAAACCCCUGUCGUAUGGGACGAAAGACUCGCAACUUAAUACUAUGCGAGAGUGACGGUACCGUUAAAGGAAGCCACGGCUAACUCUGUGCCAGCAGCCGCGGUAAUAAGGU